UACGUAGGGGGCAAGCGUUAUCCGGAAUUACUGGGUGUAAAGGGAGCGUAGACGGUUAAGUAAGUCUGGAGUGAAAGGCCGGGGCCCAACCCCGGGACUGCUCUGGAAACUAUUGAACUUGAGUGCAGGAGAGGUAAGCGGAAUUCCUAGUGUAGCGGUGAAAUGCUUAGAGAUCAUACAGAACACCGAUUGCGAAGGCAGCUUACCAAGCUACUUCUGACGUUGAGGCACGAAAGCGUGGGGAGCAAACAGG
rnacentral:rRNA from 1 species